rnacentral:tRNA from 1 species
AGCGGUGAGGCUUAGUGGAAAGAGCCCGGGCUUGGGAGUCAGAGGUUGUGGGUUCUAAUCCCACCUCUGUCA